rnacentral:lncRNA from 1 species
ACCCCUAGUAAAACAACUGAUCUAUAACCUGUCAAUAUAUUGACAAGGUAAGGAAGCAAGACUGUCCUGAGGUGAGGUGUGAUCUCCAAGAAUGGGGUUGCUAAUUGUUCCCUGUUGUUUAUUUGCCAGGAAAUAAUUGCUCUCUUUGGACUCAGUGUCUACUGGAAUUUACUAUGUGCUUCUGACCUUGGGGGAGAGACAGAGAGGAUGAAACCUAAAUCCCCACUCAGUGAGGAUUUCCCAGAUGGCAAAAGACUCGGCUACCUCAGGGCUAGAAGAGGAAGAUAAGGAGAAUAGAGGAGAAGGAGGAGAAGGAGAAGAAAGAAGAGGGGGAGGAAGAGGAAGAGGAAGAGGAAGAGGAGGAAGAGGAGGAGGAGGAGAAGGAAAAGGAGAAGGAGAAAAAGGAAGAUGAGAAGAACUGAUGACCACUACAACAACAACAAUAACAAUGAUGACAAGAGGGCUGAGUUUCUUAUUCUGCCCUGGUGGCUAUCCUGGAAUUGGCCCCUUAAGAAUCCUGUUCUGCAUUGGAAUGAGGAUAGAAAGUCUCUGGAGCUUAUAUGCUACCAUUUCCCCUUUGGGCAUCAACAUGGAGAUGGAGGAAGUGUGUGGCUUUUCCAGCCGAAGCACCCUGGAGGGUCAACUCAAAGCUGGACACCCCAUGGUUUCUCCUGGCCAUACCCAUCCGCAGCCUGCCAUGCAGGAGGCUGGGGCUGGGAUGGGGCAAAUUUUCUUACAGGACUGGUGACUGGGGGAUGGGGCAAUGCACAACUGACACAGGGAAAGGCUGAACAUAGGAGGAAUGGGAUUCCAUCAGAGCAAUUUGCCCAGCUUUUUUCUUUAUUUCCUUAUACAUUUUUAAAGCAUAUGUAUUGCUAGUAAAAGUGCUGGCUGGACAAAGCUCACUCCUGCUGUGCAUGCUGCCUUUUCUUUUCUGAAUAUCUGUGAACCUCUCUAGGCAUUUUGUCUCUUGGACAUGGACUGGCAGAGAAACUUAGUCAGUGUGGAUUCCCAGUUUGCUUUUGCAGGAGGCUUUGCUGGCUUGCUGGCAGCCCUGCCUGGCUAGCUCCAGCCCUGCAGGGCCCAGGAUGCAGGCUUGCAGCACCAGAUGGAGAGAGGGAAGGCAGACCCAGUGAGGGUACCCAGGAGGAGAAGCAAAGGCCCAAGAAGAGGGAGCAUGUGCAGGGCUUUCUGGACAGGAGCCCAGCCUGGAACAACUCUCCUGAUUUGGGGAAAAUAAAAUCACAAAUGAGAAUAGCAGGAGGCCAAGAACCAGCUGGAGACAAAGGAGUGUUAGCUUCUAGUGGAGGCUUCGAGACCAGAAAGGCUCUGAUGACAUGCUCAAAAGUCUGACCUGCCUCGGACAGCUGCCAUCCAAGCUUUGGGCCUGGAAUGUUGUCACAAGCCCAGAAAACUGUGUUGUCUACCAUAUCUGAGAUGAAGAAAGGCUGAUGAGAAAGGAUAGCUUGAGGCUCUCUCCUGCCUUCC